UACGAAGGGGGCUAGCGUUGUUCGGAAUUACUGGGCGUAAAGGGCGCGUAGGCGGUCCUGCUCGUCGGAUGUGAAAGGCCUGGGCUCAACCUGGGAAUGGCAUCCGAUACGGCGGGACUGGAGUGUGGGAGAGGUUGGUGGAAUUCCCAGUGUAGAGGUGAAAUUCGUAGAUAUUCGGAAGAACACCAGUGGCGAAGGCGGCUCACUGGUCCGGUACUGACGCUGAGGUGCGAAAGCGUGGGGAGCAAACAGG
rnacentral:rRNA from 1 species